rnacentral:rRNA from 1 species
UAUCCAGACUCCUACGGGAGGCAGCAGUGGGGAAUAUUGCACAAUGGGGGAAACCCUGAUGCAGCAACGCCGCGUGAGUGAAGAAGUAUUUCGGUAUGUAAAGCUCUAUCAGCAGGGAAGAAGAUGACGGUACCUGAGUAAGAAGCCCCGGCUAACUACGUGCCAGCAGCCGCGGUAAUACGUAGGGGGCAAGCGUUAUCCGGAUUUACUGGGUGUAAAGGGAGCGUAGACGGUGAGACAAGUCUGAAGUGAAAGCCCGGGGCUCAACCCCGGGACUGCUUUGGAAACUGCCUGACUGGAGUGCUGGAGAGGCAAGCGGAAUUCCUAGUGUAGCGGUGAAAUGCGUAGAUAUUAGGAGGAACACCAGUGGCGAAGGCGGCCUGCUGGACGGUGUACUGACGCUGAGGCUCGAAAGCGUGGGGAGCAAACAGGAUUAGAUACCCUAGUA